rnacentral:rRNA from 1 species
UACUUAGUGGCAGACGGGUGAGUAACAUGUGGGUAUCUACCCUUUGGCCUGGAAUAACACGAGGAAACUUGUGCUAAUACCGGAUAAGUCUUUACGGAGAAAGCUUUAUGCACCAUUGGAUGAGCCCGCACUUGAUUAGUUUGUUGGUAGGGUAAUGGCCUACCAAGACUAUGAUCAAUAGCUGAUUUGAGAGGAUGAUCAGCCACAUUGGGACUGAGACACGGCCCAAACUCCUACGGGAGGCAGCAGUGGGGAAUCUUGCACAAUGGAGGAAACUCUGAUGCAGCGAUGCCGCGUGAGUGAAGAAGGCCCUUGGGUUGUAAAGCUCUUUCGUCGGGGAAGAAAAUGACUGUACCCGAAUAAGAAGGUCCGGCUAACUUCGUGCCAGCAGCCGCGGUAAUACGAAGGGACCUAGCGUAGUUCGGAAUUACUGGGCUUAAAGAGUUCGUAGGUGGUUGAAAAAGUUGGUGGUGAAAUCCCAGAGCUUAACUCUGGAACUGCCAUCAAAACUUUUCAGCUAGAGUAUGAUAGAGGAAAGCAGAAUUUCUAGUGUAGAGGUGAAAUUCGUAGAUAUUAGAAAGAAUACCAAUUGCGAAGGCAGCUUUCUGGAUCAUUACUGACACUGAGGAACGAAAGCAUGGGUAGCGAAGAGGAUUAGAUACCCUCGUAGUCCAUGCCGUAAACGA